AACUCAAAGGAAUUGACGGGGGCCCGCACAAGCGGUGGAGCAUGUGGUUUAAUUCGAUGCAACGCGAAGAACCUUACCUGGUCUUGACAUAGUAAGAACUUUUCCAGAGAUGGAUUGGUGCCUUCGGGAACUUACAUACAGGUGCUGCAUGGCUGUCGUCAGCUCGUGUCGUGAGAUGUUGGGUUAAGUCCCGCAACGAGCGCAACCCUUUUCCUUAUUUGCCAGCGGGUUAAGCCGGGAACUUUAAGGAUACUGCCAGUGACAAACUGGAGGAAGGCGGGGACGACGUCAAGUCAUCAUGGCCCUUACGACCAGGGCUACACACGUGCUACAAUGGUCGGUACAAAGGGUUGCUACCUAGCGAUAGGAUGCUAAUCUCAAAAAGCCGAUCGUAGUCCGGAUUGGAGUCUGCAACUCGACUCCAUGAAGUCGGAAUCGCUAGUAAUCGUGGAUCAGAAUGCCACGGUGAAUACGUUCCCGGGCCUU
rnacentral:rRNA from 1 species